rnacentral:rRNA from 1 species
CUGAGAGGGUGUUCGGUCACACUGGAACUGAGAUACGGUCCAGACUCCUACGGGAGGCAGCAGUGAGGAAUAUUGCGCAAUGGGCGAAAGCCUGACGCAGCGACGCCGCGUGGAGGAUGAAGGUCUUCGGAUUGUAAACUUCUGUUAAGUGGGAAGAAAGGGCUGUUUUUAAUAGAAGCAGUUAAUGACGGUACCAUUAAAGAAAGCACCGGCUAAACUCGUGCCAGCAGCCGCGGUAAUACGAGUGGUGCAAGCGUUAUUCGGAAUAAUUGGGCGUACAGGGUGUGUAGGCGGUAUGUUAAGUCUGUUGUUAAAGACUCCGGCCUAACCGGAGACAGGCAGCGGAAACUGGCGUACUAGAGGGUGGAAGAGAGAAGUGGAAUUCUCGGUGUAGCGGUAAAAUGCGUAGAUAUCGAGAGGAACACCGAUGGCGAAGGCAGCUUCUUGGUCCAUACCUGACGCUGAAACACGAAAGCGUGGGGAGCAAACAGGAUUAGAUACCCUGGUAGUCCACGCUGUAAACGAUGAUCACUAGACGUUGGUUCUGUUUUACAGAAUCAGUGUCGCAGCUAACGCG